CUACGGGUCGCUCCAGUAAGGAAUAUUGCGCAAUGGAGGCAACUCUGACGCAGCCAUGCCGCGUGCAGGAAGAAGGCCUUAUGGGUCGUAAACUGCUUUUAUCUAGGAAUAAACCCUCGCUCGUGAGCGAGGCUGAAGGUACUGAAUGAAUAAGCACCGGCUAACUCCGUGCCAGCAGCCGCGGUAAUACGGAGGGUGCAAGCGUUAUCCGGAUUUAUUGGGUUUAAAGGGUGCGCAGGCGGGCUAUUAAGUCAGUGGUGAAAUCCCGGGGCUCAACUCCAGAACUGCCAUUGAUACUGAUAGUCUUGAGUUUGGUUGAAGUGGGCGGAAUGUAGCAUGUAGCGGUGAAAUGCAUAGAUAUGCUACAGAACACCAAUCGCGAAGGCAGCUCACUAAGCCAAAACUGACGCUCAUGCACGAAAGCGUGGGGAUCAAACAGGAUUAGAUACCCGGGUAGUC
rnacentral:rRNA from 1 species